UAUAAAAAAAAUAUAAUUAUUUUGACAUGUUUUUUAAUAUUAAUAAUAAAGCACCACAUCCCUUUUAAAAAAAUAAUAAUAAAACAACACAAUUUCAUAGCAAAGAUAACACACAUUAAGAUAAUUAUUAAGAAUAUAUUAUCAAUACAAGCUAAGAUAACAGUUCUGAUGUUAAAACGUUAAAUUUAGACUUUACAUAAAUGUUGCUAAAAUAAGAGUUAACUUAGUGGUGUUAUCUUUGCCCUUUUUUGUAGUAGUGAAAAAAAAUUGUGCUGAAGGCAGGCUCGAACCGCUGACCUUAUGUAAAUAUUCCUAAGUGAUUUACCAUCUGCUCUAACAUUUUUAAUUGAUUCAUGUUUCCAUAAAUUUAGAGUUAAGGUCUUAAUUAAUAAUGUCAGUUUCAACAAUUCUAAAAUUCCAUGCUUUCAUUCAUCCCCUCCAUGUCCAACGCUUCAUCUACUCCUCAGCAUACAACAGUUUUAGAAUAUUACUCCACCAUGAACAUUGAAGUCUUCUUCUACUUCCUAAUUAAUGCUUGCAAAUUGUUGUUGUUAUUGGAGAAUACAAAUCAAGCAAUGGAGUUCAAAGGUCAGAUUUUGGAGGGCAACACCAUAAAGAGGAUUUUUGUAAUUAAUCCACUUUGCAAGGUAUUAUGUUCAUCUUCUUCUUUGUUUCUUUGUGCAAUGUGUUUUAGUUGGGUUUAUUUCUUUUAUUUUCUGUAUUUCGGUUGGGGCUUUGUCCUCUUUCAACAGCAUAAAAAAAAGAAUAUAAUGAACCGGAGAUGUGCUUCACUGAAUUACUAGAACCGUGACAGCUUCAUCUGAACAGCUUUAAAUCAUGUGUAGUAGUAUAAAAUAAUUAGACAAUUGGAUAUUUUCACAUAUUUUGGAGAAUUUUUCUGGUGGUAUACCAGUCCUUCUCAUAUGCACCUGUCCAUACUCCAUUGAAGAUCAAAUUGGUUUACUGCUAGAAGAAUGAUCAAAAAAAUUAACUGCUAGAAGAAUGAUAAAAAAGACCCUAAAUUUACCGAAGUAGGGUCUUUUGUUUAUCUUAGGCUCUGCGUCUGUUCUCCUUCUAUUGCACAUAACAUUUUUCUUUAGAACUUUAAAUUAAAAUAGUUAAGGUAUGCAUGUAAUAGUUUACCUAAAUGUUGAUAUUUGAUCGUUUGAAAGUUGUGUGAGGGUUCUGGCAGAAGUUUGAUUGCUUAGAAAUAUUGACUUGAUACAUGAGGUUUUUUUUUUCUUUUUCUUUUGGGGCUAUCUUCUUAAUGAAUCAGCUCUUUAUUAUUUAUUUAUAAAAAUUAGCAAAUUUUGUGGAGGGUUGUCAAUUAGCUUUUUGAAGGAAUGUGUGUGCUGUAAUUCAUAUGCUUUUGAAGGUGGUUUUAUCGUGCUUAGGAUUUUUGUUUUCCAGAAGUUAGUGUGUAAAGGUUAGGUUUGUUGUUUACAUGGAUAUAUUUUCAAAAUUGACAAUGUUCUUGGGGGUGAUACUUUGAGGAAAUCGAUUCACAGCACAUAUAAUUGUGAAGAAUUCUCGAUUGUGGCUCAUAUACUCUGGAAGGGUGUGUUAUUGUUGAGGAACUUAAUGGCUCUUAAAUGUUGGUAAGGAAAACAUAUUUUAGGAGGAAAUCAGGCUUGUUUGUGGUUAACCAUCAUAGUUUGUAACUAUAUUAUAAAAGGAAUCAUUUCAAGGGCGACAUUUUAAUUUAUAUAAUUGUUGGUUCUUGUACAAUCGAUUGGGUGAAUUAGAUAGUUAGAUACCAUUCUAGAGUUUGGUAAAUUUAGUUGAUGUUUUGGUGCAUCUUUAAACUUCUAUUUGGCCUAAGCUUUUGUAAGUAUCAUGUUAUACUUCUAACAUCUCCAUCUAUUAGAACUUAUUUACCUCAUAGAAUGGGAAGUGGUUUGGAGAAGUGAUUUAGAGCUUUUCUUACAUGUUAGAAUGGUAGUGGUUUGGUGUCAUCUUGAGUUAUUGUCUCAUUAAGUGCUCCUUCAUUAGUCGGCUUUAAAUCUGGCAGAUUUGAUUACCUUGCUAUUGCUUGAUUGGUCUUAGUCAGAGAUACCUGAAGAAAGCUUAAGUGAUGAACUUAAGCCAGAAACUUCACUUGUGUUGUUUUAUGGUGGUUUAUACAUUAUAGGGUCCUGUUUCCAUGUGGUUGUAUGAUGAGUGAAAAUCAUAUAACUUGGUGAAAGCGUGAAAAUUGGAUGGAUGAGCUCGAAUUCAUGUAGUAAACCUAUUGUAGGUGGUUAUGGAAUACUUUGUGAAAUUAAUGAAUUCAAGCAUAAAUGAUAUAUAUAUAUAUAGUGUAAAAGUUUCAUUGUGGGUUAUUAUGGAUAUAAUAUAUUUUUAUAAUUGGAUGGAGCUCCGUGAUUUGAGAAUUCGAAGGUAAGCUCUUUGGAAGUAAUGUGGGUUUCACUUAUGGUGAAAUUUGUAGUAGUUAAAGGUUUGAACUUGGAACUACGCGGGUCUGUUGGUUAUCCCUCUGUUCUUACUUUUCUAUGAGUGAUAUUGAGUUAAAGUUUAUCUAUAUGUAAUAUUGUAAUUAUAUUUGUCUCAUCUCCAUUUUUAUAUUUCUGGAUCCAUAGUUCCUUAAUAGGAAUUCAAGAUGUCUUUCUUAGCAGUAGCGAACUUAGUCAUCAACAUCAUCACUAUCAUUACCCAGUACUUCUAAAGAGACUUCUAUCCUCCGAAUGGUAGGGGUGAUUAGCUGUACACAAGCUUACUAACAAAAAGGCUAACUUUAGUUCAUCUUGAUCCAAUACAUUAUAAUGUCUGCAACUAUAGAAUAAGAAGUUUCAGUGGUUUCAUGAGCCAUUUUGAUAUAGUAUAGUAAUUUCUUCUUGCUGAAAUUACAAGAUUGUUCCCAGAUUGGGAUGGGAAUUUUAUACUUUAGAGAUUAGCCUGACUUUGAAUUUAUGUGGUUGAAAUAAAGUAUUCAGCAUUAUUUUAAUAGAGCAAUGUUUUUCAGAUUUUAAUUCUUUCUUUUGGUUUUGCAGCAUCGUUGGUGUUAAUUUGAAUUGUUUGAAUCUGAUUAACAUUGCUCUAGAAAAAUUGAUUCUUUAAGUUAUGAAUUUGUCAUGCCAAGGAUUUUUUUUGGGUGCCAUUAUCGUGUAUGAUUGAUGUUCCAAUGUUGGUGAUUUAACUAGAUCAAUAAUGUAUGAUACGUGAGACUAUGAGAGUACUGGAGCGCCUAUACUUUGCAGUAUUCUUUUAUUGCUCAUAGUCUUUCGAGAAUUCUAGCUUCUAUUCUCAUUUAAUCUUCAUCAACUAGAUCAAUAAUGUAUAUAAGCAUGGGUAUGUCUACUGUUGUUUUUUUCCUUAGCUAUGUUAUGAUGCGGUUAACUUUUCAAGGGAGAACUGGUGUGUCGAUUAUUUAUUACUUAGAGAGGUUAUAUGUGUGUAUGGUUUAUGGUUAGUGUCUCAUGGUCUUAAAAAGGGUGAAUCGAACUUACAGGCAUAUUGUCUUGCUUGGUUUCAAGAAUGAAAAGGUUUCUUGAUUUUCAUAAUUUGGAAUGUCACUUUAUUUACUUUGUGUUCAUGAAUUUUUUUUUUGACAAGUCAUUAGUAGGGAUGGAAAUGGAUCGGAUUCGGGGCGGUUGGAACACCACCCACAUCCACCACCCGCAAUUGUUUACUCCACCCGCAUCCAUCCAUAUCGGGUGAAAUGGGUGGGUUUGGUGCUAAACGGGUGAUGAUAUUUAGUAUAUUUUUAAAAUAAAUUAGUCACAUAAUAUAAAAUAAUUAUAUCAAAAACAUAAAAUAUAAGUAAUUUACAUGUAAAUUUUAAUAAUUAGGUAAUGAGUUGGAUGUUAAACGGGUGAUGGAUCGGGUGACGGAUGAAAAAAUUCUCACCCACCACCCACUUUCCAUCCAUUUAAAUUCGGGUUUUUAUUCAUUUAAAAUACUGGUUAAGCGGGUGAUGGAUCAUCCAUCACCCAUUUCCAUCCUUAGUCAUUAGUGAUGGCGAUUAUAAGAAGAUUGUAAUGAGUGCGACUCUUUGAAUAUAGGAACUUUAGGUGAAUAUUAAACACACUAGAUACCAACACACUUUUGGAUUCAUCAAAAGGUAUUUCAUUUCCUUUAACUAAUAUAUUUUUUUAGCUUGCUAUCAAGAAGUAAUGUCAAAGAAAUUCAAAUUAUAGUAUUGUAAGUAUGAGUCCUCGGGACUAAUGCAUACUAGCAGGACUACCCUGCUGACUACUGAGCCUCAUGCUUACAAACACGAACAAGAAUAGAAGAUGGUUGAUCUUAGACACUUUGAUGUUUAAGUAAAACAACCUGAUGGCUGACUUAGAUACAUAAUAAUCAUACACACCCUACUUUGUCAAAGUAUGAGCAUCUAGGAAUUGUUUAGCAGCCAACAUUGAACAAGUGACCAACAUAAUACAGAGACAACCCCUAUUUUUUUGACAAUCACUUUAAGGUAACAACUCUAAUAAGGUCAAAGUUGAGUAUAACAAACUAAGAGCUGUAGAAAUAUCAAAACUGUCACAAAAAAGGGGAAUAAAAAUUAAAGACAAUAUUAAGUAUUCAAAUUUUACACAGGUGUCUCUUUAAUUUCCUGAAGAAAAAAUAAGUAUGUAGGACAAGAAAAAAUAAAUAGAUUCUAAGUUUCUAACACAGCACAAUAAUGCAAUAAAGCAUUGCACAAUCAUUUACACAUAGGAAAAGAGAAUCACUAAUAUGUGGCAUACUUUGACUUCGUGUUUUCUUUUGGUAUAUCAAGAAUUAUAUUACAAAGAAUGUCAAAAAAGAAAAAAUUAUAUACAAAGGAGGAAAGAAUUUGAGUUCAAUUUGUAGCAGGUGUAUAUUGACUAUAGAAUAUCUGGUAAAGACUCUGUGUUUGAUACAACCCACAUGUUUUGGACUAAAAAUCUAUAUAGAUGACUGCCACUUCAUAGCAAAGAUGCCAACAAGAAGACAAAUUAAUAUCAUUUGAUCUGCAUUCUUUCAGUCUCUAAUAAAAAAUGUAUGUAUUUUACUUUUGGCUUGCUUCUAAAAUAUAAUAUAAAGUAGAGAAUAAUGUGAAAAUUAGGUAGCUAGAUACUAUGACUUUAUUUACUUUUGUGUUAUAGUAAUAUGGAACUACUGGUGUACCUUAUAUUCAUUUCUCCCCAAUUUUCACAAUGGAACUUAAAGUAUAAGUGCUGCUUCGACGAUAUAUUGUUUUUACAGGAUUUGUCUCAUUGUUCCAAAUCAAUAUCAACUCCAUAUAACACAAAUAACUAAGGUCUACAAGAGUAAUAUAGUUGAUUGGAUGUAUCCCAAAGCUUUGUACAAGUUGGUUUCCCUUCAAUCAAUAAAAGUCUCCAAUUACAAUGACACCAAACUUUUAGAUAUUUUGGGGAUUGUCGUACAUGCAGGUAAAGCAUUUGUUUGUAACGAUGACGCAACCCGUAUGCAAGAGGUUAUUGUUCUAGAUAGAAGCUUAUUUUCUAAUCACAGGAAGAGACACAAGGUUAUUUAUCAAUCCAGAUAAUGUAGAUGCAUCAACUCUAUUGGAUUGGUAAUGAAGAAACACAGAUUUAUUAAAUUAUAUAUAUAUAUAUAUAUAUAUA